UACGAAGGGGGCUAGCGUUGUUCGGAAUUACUGGGCGUAAAGGGCGCGUAGGCGGCCCGUUCAGUCAGAAGUGAAAGCCCCAGGCUCAACCUGGGAACGGCUUUUAAUACUGGCGGGCUUGAGUUCCGGAGAGGAUGGUGGAAUUCCCAGUGUAGAGGUGAAAUUCGUAGAUAUUGGGAAGAACACCGGUAGCGAAGGCGGCCAUCUGGACGGACACUAACACUAAGGCGCGAAAGCAUGAAAAGCAAACAGG
rnacentral:rRNA from 1 species